rnacentral:rRNA from 1 species
GACGAACGCUGGCGGCGUGCCUAAUACAUGCAAGUAGAACGCACAGUUUAUACCGUAGCUUGCUACACCAUAGACUGUGAGUUGCGAACGGGUGAGUAACGCGUAGGUAACCUGCCUGGUAGCGGGGGAUAACUAUUGGAAACGAUAGCUAAUACCGCAUAAUAUUGAUUAUUGCAUGAUAAUUGAUUGAAAGAUGCUAUUGCAUCACUACCAGAUGAACCUGCGUUGUAUUAGCUAGUAGGUGAGGUAACGGCUCACCUAGGCGACGAUACAUAGCCGACCUGAGAGGGUGAUCGGCCACACUGGGACUGAGACACGGCCCAGACUCCUACGGGAGGAAGCAGUAGGGAAUCUUCGGCAAUGGACGAAAGUCUGACCGAGCAACGCCGCGUGAGUGAAGAAGGUUUUCGGAUCGUAAAGCUCUGUUGUAAGAGAAGAACGGGUGUGAGAGUGGAAAGUUCACACUGUGACGGUAUCUUACCAGAAAGGGACGGCUAACUACGUG